CCUACGGUAGGCAGCAGUGAGGAAUAUUGGUCAAUGGACGAGAGUCUGAACCAGCCAAGUAGCGUGAAGGAUGACUGCCCUAUGGGUUGUAAACUUCUUUUAUAAAGGAAUAAAACGAGGCACGUGUGCCUUUUUGCAUGUACUUUAUGAAUAAGGAUCGGCUAACUCCGUGCCAGCAGCCGCGGUAAUACGGAGGAUCCGAGCGUUAUCCGGAUUUAUUGGGUUUAAAGGGAGCGUAGAUGGGUUGUUAAGUCAGUUGUGAAAGUUUGCGGCUCAACCGUAAAAUUGCAAUUGAUACUGGCAGUCUUGAGUACAGUUGAGGUAGGCGGAAUUCGUGGUGUAGCGGUGAAAUGCUUAGAUAUCACGAAGAACCCCGAUUGCGAAGGCAGCUCACUAAACUGUGACUGACAUUGAUGCUCGAAAGUGUGGGUAUCAAACAGGAUUAGAUACCCCUGUAGUC
rnacentral:rRNA from 1 species